UGUGGGGCCUACAUUGUUGCAAGUCUACGUAAUCGGUAAAUUUGACGAUUUGUUACCAAAGUAGCUAUUUUAUUGGGAAUUUUCUUCCGCGCGUGGAAUAGAGAGGAAAACAUUUACAAGUUGUGGAAUUAACCAAGUCUGGAUAUUUUAUUUUCCUGUCGGUGAUCAUCAGUAUUGAAGAAGCUGUACAGAAGAGAUAAUACAGGAUUAUUCGAAUAAA